CUCAGGCUAGCUCACCUUUCUCCUCCCACGCCAGACGUCUGGAUUCUUCCCAAGCAUCAGCUGUUUCCUUCAACGCAGCCAUGGACGUCUGUGCACACCAGCCUCAAUCCUCAGCCUGCAUCGUGCUCCCCUGAUUGGGGAACAGGAUAAAAUGUUUUAUGCUUGUGAUAUGUCCUGCAGAGUCUAUACUCACCAGCUAAGCAUUGGCAGAGUUUAAAUAUAUCAUAGACUUGGAAAGAGAGACCCCACUUCAGACUUUGCUCGUUUGGUAGCUGGGAUGACUUUGAACCUCUGAUCCUCCCAGCCUCCACAUCUCCAGCGCUGGGAUUACAGGCUUACCUCCAACAGUCCCAAUUCAUGUGGUUUUGACAGUCAAGCACAGGACCUCGAACAUGCUAGGCAACAGCUCUACCAGCUGAGCUCAUCCCAGCCCAGACUUUGCUCUUUGGAAUGCUUGCUCAGCAGAUGACCCCAUUCUGAAUUGGGCCCACAGACUCCAGAAGCACAGAUGUUGACUUCUCCACGUGGAUCCGGAACCAGGAUGCCAGCCCCCAUGGGAUGCAGAGGAGAUGGAGCAAACACCUGCCUGGCUCUGCAGAACACCGACCUUCUGUACAUGGAAAGAGUUGAAGCCGAAGGGAGAUUGAGGAGAAAGAAGUAUCAGCCUCCUGGUCCACAUGGGAAGUGUCUUUGGGUGCUCUGGAAAAC